rfam:Picea glauca, whole genome shotgun sequence.
UGUCUAAAACAUAGCAUUAAUGCAUCGAAUCCCAUUAGAAUUCCGCAGUUAAGAGCACUUGGGAUAGAGUAGUACUAGGAUGGGUGCCUACCUGAGAAUUCCUACUAUUUUACAUUC